GACGAACGCUGGCGGCGUGCUUAACACAUGCAAGUCGAACGGAAAGGCCCUGCUUUUGUGGGGUGCUCGAGUGGCGAACGGGUGAGUAACACGUGAGUAACCUGCCCUUGACUUUGGGGUAACUUCAGGAAACUGGGGCUAUAACCGGAUAGAAUCUCCUGCUCCAUGGGGGGGGUUGGAAAGUUUCGGCGGUGGGGGAUGGACUCGCGGCUUAUCAGCUUGUUGGUGGGGUAGUGGCUUACCAAGGCUUUGACGGGUAGCCGGCCUGAGAGGGUGACCGGCCACAUUGGGACUGAGAUACGGCCCAGACUCCUACGGGAGGCAGCAGUGGGGAAUAUUGCACAAUGGGCGGAAGCCUGAUGCAGCAACGCCGCGUGCGGGAUGACGGCCUUCGGGUUGUAAACCGCUUUCGCCUGUGACGAAGCGUGAGUGACGGUAAUGGGUAAAGAAGCACCGGCUAACUACGUG
rnacentral:rRNA from 1 species